AAUAGAUACCCUGGUAGUCCAUGCCGUAAACGUUGGGCACUAGGUGUGGGGCUCAUUCCACGAGUUCUGUGCCGCAGCAAACGCAUUAAGUGCCCCGCCUGGGGAGUACGGCCGCAAGGCUAAAACUCAAAGAAAUUGACGGGGGCCCGCACAAGCGGCGGAGCAUGCGGAUUAAUUCGAUGCAACGUGAAGCACCUUACCCAGGGUUGACAUGCAGCUGCAUUCCGGUGAAAGCCGGUGGCCUUCGAGGGUGCUGCACAGGUGCUGCAUGGUUGUCGUCAGCUCGUGUCGUGAGAUGUUGGGUUAAGUCCCGCAACGAGCGCAACCCCUAUCGUCAGUUAUACGUGUCUGACGAGACUGCCGGCUUUCGGCCGGAGGAAGGCGGGGAUGACGUCAAAUCCGCAUGGCCCUUACCCCUGGGGCGACACACACGGCUACAAUGGCCAGGACCAGCGCGUCGCGAGCCGGUAACGGUCAGCUAAUCGCCCAAACCUGGUCCCAGUGCAGAUCGGGG
rnacentral:rRNA from 1 species